CACCAACUUCCCUACUGCAAUACACCCACUACACCUACUCCUUUACAGGCAUUCAAGCCAUGCCUGCUUUACAGGCAUUCAAGCCAUGCCUUUACAGUCAGACUCCUCAUCUGCAAUACAACUAUACAUCAACCAAGUUUCUGCCUUUUUCCAUUAGGCACAAAUUAAUUGAUCACUCACCACAUAUCACUUCGCAAGAAAGAAACUCAGAUUCAUAAGUCUAUACAAAAUAUAUUCCAAGCUCAUCUCCUUCAACAAUCCAGAAACAAACAGACACCACCAUCUCAUUCAAGGCUUUGUGACCAGGGGGAUUAGCGCUGCUUCCCAAGACAGGUUUAUAUGUGAUUAUGAUCUUCAGGCUUUGCCUAACCAGGUUGAGCAGUUGAUGGAAUGGAAUGAUGUUGAGCGGGUGUUCCUUUGACAUUUCAAGAAAUGUAACCUUGAGUAUACAUCUUCAUAUGUAUAUCUCACACGUUUUCCACUGCAAAACACUUUGAUUAGGAUAACUUUAUGUUAUGAAAUUGUGACACGUGUUAUUGGGUAACCCACCUUAAUCAGUUCUCAUUUAUGUGUAUGUUUUAUAAGUAUCCAAAUAAUCAUAUAUGAUCCUAGCAUUUUAUCUAUGAGUGACAUUUCCAUAUACUUUAAUGUUAAGUAAUUGUCCAUUUCCA